AGCACUCUGGAGAAGGUCUGCCGCUGUCUGCACUUUCCUGGUUCUAUGCAGGCAGAUGAGUGUCACAGCUGUAACUGAGGCACAGAGCAGUACACACAGUGGAGCCGAUUUCCGCGAUGGCGAGAGGGGGCACCGGAGGUGACAACAAUAACAAGACUGUCCUUCGGACAAGUUUUAGAUUCUCAGGAUGAUGGAGUGAGUGAUGGAAUAGGUUGCCAACUGUAGUUACUCCACUCAGCACAGAAUGGCUGCGGGGAAAUAUAAUCAGACAUGCCCAAAGAAGUCUGCUUAGGGUGAAACAAAUACCUUUGAGGUUUAAAUCAGAAAGGAAGGAGAGACUGUUUCUACAGGUGUCAUACAAAAAUCAAUACUGAGCCAAGGAUUAUUGGAUCCCAUAGAACCACGGAGACUUGGUAGUGAAAUUCUUCCAAAGGCAGAUGGUGUUCCUAGGUUUGGAAAUAUAAAUCCCAUGGGAAGUCAGCUGAAGACCAUUUUAUGCAUCACUCAUCCUGUUAGAGCCCUGUGCUGUUCUGUCUCUCUAUAAGACUGGCUGAAACCACCACGGUUGUUUACAAUUUAUGCUCUAACUUUGGAUCACCUAGUUAAUACUCUAACUCCGAUUAUUACCAAAGACAAUGUUCUAUAAAAGAUAUUGUCUAUUAGAAGGAUGCUUCUGCAUUAUUAAUAAAAUCACAGGGAAAAUGCAACAUUUUGGAUGUCACAUCUGAUAAGUUGGCAGUUAAAGAACAGAAACAGCAAUAAGACUGCGUGGCUACAUUUUCCCAGUGCCACCAACUGGGAUUUAAGCUGACUAACAUUUUGAAAGCCCAGCCCAUUUCAUUCACAGCAGGAUGGCAGUGGGUGACUGAUCGUACCCGCCAGCUGGCUAAUGUCAUAAUUAACAAAGUUGCUACUACAUCUGCAAAGUUUAAUCGAAAAAUUUGCCAGUGAUAUGAUGGCCUUGUCACAGAGAUCACAAGGGACACGGAGUUGACUUUUGCUCAAGGUGGAACGACAGAGCUGUGUAGGCAAGAUGAGAAAUUGCGAACUUGUUCGGCCAAAGGAGGCUAAUAAUGAAGGGGCCGGGAAGGAGGCCAGUGCUACCAGGGUUAUCUCACAACCUCAGAUGCUGGAUAAGUCGACGGAGGCAGAAUCGCUUUGGGAUGACAUUCAGAAAGCCUGGAGUGAUUACUUGCAAGAGAAAAGCCUACCUAUUCUUUCCAAGGUGCAGGAAUAUUCCCCUGACCUGCUCAUCCAGUGGUCCAGUAAUGAAUUACUGGAGACCUGCCUUAGACAAAGAAUGCACUCGGAGCCCCAACACACCUAAAGCCAUGCUUUGAAGGAUCUGCCAAGCUCACUUUUAAUCAUGAGAAAGAAAUUACCCACACGGAGUCAGCAGAAAAUGAGAAAGUAGAGCUCGUGCUGUGAAUAAUUCCAGCAAGUGCCAAGGGGCUAGUUGAGGAAUGGCUUCAUGAGAACAUGCUCUAGGGGAACUAUUAAUAGCCCACCAGUCGGGUAGGCAGCAUUCAAUCCUUCUAUGCCUUCUUUCGCCACCUGUUGAGGUCUUUCUUCUGAAACAAAGAAGAAAUAGACAAAUCAGACUUGCCCUCUUGGAAAUGUGGUCCAGAUUUCUCUACUCCCAAGCUCCAAAAAAGGUAUACAUUGGAUGGGCUAGAUCAACUCCUCCUGAGAGCCAUAAAUCCGCCAAGAGUUGUUUUCCAUGUAAGGGUGUGGUACAAUGGGGAACACCUGAUGUUGGAGGAAAGCAGGAGGACUUUAGAGUGGAGUUGCAUUCUAAUCUCUCUGCCGCUUCAACUAUGUGACCUGGGGCAAAUGAUAUAAACUCUAUGAGCCUCUUUCCUUAUCUUUAAAAUGAAGAGAAGUAAUACCUACCUUGUAGGGCUGUUGUGAGGAUUAAAUGAAGUAAUGCAUACAGUGCCUAACAAAGUAUUUAACAUCAUAUUUUUUAAAAGCUCAUGAAAUAUUAGUUUUUCUUCCUUCCCCUCUUUCUAUUUUCUCUCCUGUUCCCUUUUCUCUCCCUCCUCUGCCCUCUCCUUCCUUCAGAUGUUAGUCUAAAACAGCACCUUGGAUCUAAGCAGCACCUUUGAGAAAGAAAAGACUGCUUCAAGAAUGUCUAGUUGCACCUCCUUUCCGUAUGUGGCCUAAAUGCCUAGGUUGGAUCAAUAGUUUAAUUUUUUUAUUGAACUGUUUAAUAUUGACUAUGGACUUACAUUCACUUUUACUGUUUUCUGUAUAUUUACUUUUGCUUGAAGUGUUU
rnacentral:lncRNA from 1 species